rnacentral:pre_miRNA from 1 species
GUACCACUAGCAGGCUGGCGAAAAUGUUCCGGUUGAAUUGAAUGGCUGAUUUGUCACCGGCGCUUUUUCGACGAGCUUUCCGUGGUUU